rnacentral:rRNA from 1 species
AUUGAACGCUGGCGGCAGGCCUAACACAUGCAAGUCGAGCGAGCGGCGGACGGGUGAGUAAUGUCUGGGAAAAUGCCUGAUGGAGGGGGAUAACUACUGGAACCGGUAGCUAAUACCGCAUAACAUCAGCUGUGCCCAUAUGGGAUUAGCUGGUAGGUGGGGUAACGGCUCACCUAGGCGACGAUCCCUAGCUGGUCUGAGAGGAUGACCAGCCACACUGGAAUGGAGACACGGUCCAGACUCCUACGGCAGGCAGCAGUGGGGAAGAUUGCACAAUGGGCGCAAGCCUGAUGCAGCCAUGCGGCGUGUGUGAAGAAGGCCUUCGGGUUGUAAAGCACUUUCAGCGGGGAGGCGUUACCCGCAGAAGAAGCACCGGCUAACGCCGUGCCAGCAGCCGCGGUAAUUC